rnacentral:misc_RNA from 1 species
GUUCUGUUAUUGAAGUAAUUGGCAGACGUUCAACCAUGUAUGGUGCUUGGUGGGGAAUUGGUGUAAGGGGUGGGUUCCGGAGGUUCAAGUACAUAGAAAUUCAAUGCUUUUUAGAUUCCGAGGAUGACAUCACUAUGGACAUGCCCAUGUCCAAUUGAUCAAGGCAUAGUAAUUGGAAAAUUCACACUUCAGUUUUAUUUUA